CUUGCCAGCUGGGGCGGGGCGCUGGCGCUGGCGCCCCUAUGCGCGAGGAGAAACGCUCCCGCGCCUCGUACCUGCGCGCGCCCCUUCCUUGGGCCAGAAGCAGUGCUCCACCAUUUGCAGCUGGUCUGUGAACACCACCAACAAUCUUGAAUUGGUUUGCGCUAGGUCCCACAGCGUUCUGACCUCCAGGAAAGCAUCAUGUUCCCUGCAGCUCUGCAAAUAUUGGAAGAUUGUGUGUCACAUGUCUGCAACACUUGACAAUAGUGCAAGCUCCAGGCUUCUGUAAGACGUGGCAAAAAGCAACAAGUCCCACACAGAUCGCGUACACUUUGGGGACACCAUCACCAGUCCAGCUGUUUCACAGCGCAAGCGCUGGGAGGGAGUGGGGAGAAGCAGG